rnacentral:tRNA from 1 species
AAAGACUUACAAGACACUCUUAUAUCUUCUGAAUGCAACUCAGAUAUUUUAAUUAAACUAAAGCCUC